AACGCACCUUGCGCCUUUUGGUAUUCCGAAAGGCACACCUGUUUGAGCGUCAUGAAUACCUCAAUCUCCAUCUUUUCUUCGGAUUGAUGGGUGACUUGGAUGUUGAGCCCUGCUGGUAUGCUAUAUCAGCUGGCUUUAAACUUAUUAGCCGGCUCUGUACUGGAUCGGUUUGACUCGACGUGAUAAUAUUAUCGUUGAGGAUGCAUGUCUCAUGCAGCCGGAAAGUAUCAAAGCAGCUUCUAGCUUGCCUUUAGUGCACUUUUACAUUUUAGACCUCAGAUCAGGUGGGACUACCCGCUGAACUUAA
rnacentral:misc_RNA from 1 species